AACAGGAAGGCCCUUUAACUAGCACAUAAAAGUGCUUUGGGCUUUCAAAGCCCCGCUCUGGUGUUUACGGGGAGCCCGAGACUUUUAUGGGCCAUUUCCAGUCUCCUUCCCCCUGACCUACUGAUGCAUCUUGGUUUCUAGCUGUGGUGUGGGGAACUGUCACAGUCCAGGAUGUAAGUGUCCAUGCGGAUCGACUAGUAGUCAAGUCUGCUAAGAGGCAAUUGGACUAAAUAAAAUAUGGCCAGUCUCUGCCCUUGAGGACCAGCUUUUGAAAAACACCCCUACCGACCUGAAAGGAAUACACAGGAGAGAGGAAACCCAUUCCACCCCCAGGGAGCAUUCUGGCUAAGGGAGAAGGUUGUACAAACUGGCGCCUCAGCAUCCCUCCAGGAAGAAAGCCACAGCUGUCCCACCCUCACCGGACCCAUGCCUGCUGCCUCAAGGUGUCCUCCUACCAGCUUUAAUCUGGAUGGGGAUCAUGUCCCUCUCCUCGUGGGUUGUCCCCUGUGCUGCUGUCCCACUGGGUCCUAGACAGCCUGCUCUGCACCCUCCCCCCCGUGCCAUCCCUCUCUCUCUCCCUCCCCUGCUACCUUUCUCUUCUCUGCUGUUUAUUAAAAUAAAAACAUGCAUUAGCUC